CUCAUUUGGUGACGUGAUCCGACAUUAUGGCGCGAACGGACUUCCGGCAAGUAAGUGGAGGGAUGAAUGUGAAUAUCUAAUGUGAAUGUAUGUUAAGGUUAGCCGAUAGAGCUCCAGUGUGUACCCUUGGUUACCCUAUCCAACAGAGAAGGGAGAAGGAAAAGUAGCGCUGUUUAGUGGGGAAUUAGCGACGCCGGCAGGGAGGGAAAUGUUUGGCGUGUGUGUGUGGCUCCAUGCGUCGCCCCAUGUGGUGCGGACGCCCCUCCGUCAGACCCGCUAAACGUGAAAGUUGCGGUAAUAUUUCUAAUGUUAAAAUAGUAGUAAUCUUUCUACAUUCAUUGACAAAAUGGCUCAAGGAAUUGAGAGUUGGGAUGACUGUGUUAGAGGGGGAUGAUUCUUACCAGUUUCAACUCAAGUACAUUCUACUGGAGACCCAACCCUUAAAAGAGCUGGAAAUGUUAGAUUGAAUUGUAUAGUGAUGUGAAUAGACAUCAAACAUAGCCUAUCAGUCAAUGAAAACAUCAGAUUGUCAACUAAAGAUAUGAAAUAAGGUGAUAAAUAUGAGACACAAGAUUUUUCCAUACAGAAUAGAAAUGGAAAAGUGGCAUGUCAAGGAGUUUUAUCAAAUAACAAACUGAUCACACAAUCAAAUGAUAAUCAAAUAACAAACUGAUCAAGCAAUCAAAUGAUAAUCAAAUUAAUCAAAUAACAAACUGAUCAAACAAAUAAUGAUAAUCAAAUUAAUCAAGUCACAAACUGAAGUGGGAAACAAACGCUGAAACACAAAAGCGUACACAACAUAAUACAUUUAUGCAUUUUAAGGAGUUAUAUGUGUACAUAAAACAGAUUAUUUUCACACUGCUUUAACAUUGAUUGAUCAAUUAACUGUAAAUUAAGUAACUAUGGCGACUAUAAGCAGUAGUAGAAGUAAAAUUUGCUACUAUUUAAAACGUGGUACAAGUACAUAGUCGCAUUAUGUCAGAAAAUUCAUAUAAAGUACAUGUUUCUUUAAAGUCGAGUUUCUAAAUAAAUGUACGGCUAAAUAUAUAUAAAUAACUUCCUGCCAAAAGUUAUGAUGUUCUUUCUUUAUGUCCACCAUUUUCCCAACUUUAAGGCUAUUAUCACAGAGAAAAAUGUUAUAUGGUGAAAGUCAUUCUCGCACUGCAGCCUGGAGUUUGUGUAAUACGUCAUGGAAGUGGAAGAGAUGUUUCACAGGCUACUUUCUCCCACCGGUCGAUGAGCAGAGAAAUGUUCGGCACAAAUGAAAUAUCAGAGCUGCCCUCAUGUGAUUUACAGUAGCUGCCUGCAGUGAGAGCCGCUCCUGACUCUGUUUUUUACUGUCUCGCAGGAAAUUACAACAAGCUUUUGAGAAUGUUUGUCUGAGAGUGUAAAUCGAGAUGACUGAGAGUGAUUCCAAAUCUGGGGUUAGUCCUAAUGCAGUGUUUUCUACAGCUGAACUACUCAGAGCAGUGACUCAGGCUUCAGUUCCUCCUUGUUUCUUUUAGAUUUCCUCCUUUAUUGCGUCGUACAUAAUCUGGGAUGACAGCAGAGAUGUUGGUGAGACAGAAUAACACGCAGCAUGGCGUUUGAACCAGAGCGAAACCCACAACAUAUCCUGGCAUGUACUGCAGUCAUCUGAUCCACUAAGCACUGUAUUCUCCCGAUCUAAUAUUGUAUAUUCUAUGUGGCCUUUUGACCCUUAUGGUGUCAUUUAAAAUAAGUGGCUCCUUCUCUGGAGCUAAUCUUAAACCACUUAUGCUGCCAGGGAGAAAGAGAGAGACAGAAAGAGAGAGAGAGAGAGAGAGGGAUCGGGGGAGGAAGCUCAUUCCCAGUGUGAUGUUUAUCUGACAUUUUCCAGUGGUCUGUGACUCAGUCAGCUGUGAUUGCUAGCAGAACACAUGGGGCUAGCCGGGGCUCUCCCAGCGUUAGCUACAGGGCACCACUUACUGGAUGCUAGCUGCUGCAUUCCUGCAUCCUGGCUCACCGCAAGAGCCAGAAAUGAGAAAAUAUCCCUCCAGGAUUAGAGAUGGGGAGGGGGGAAUUGGACACAGCUAUGAUCAUUGUUGCCUGAAUCUGCAUUGUGUGUGUGCAUGUGUGCUUUUUAUUGUCCUGGCAAGCGCAUAUUUAAUUCUGCGGUGUUAAAAUCCAGGACUGAAAUGAUUCCUUUUUUUUCCUCUACAUUACCAACAUCAGAUGAUUCCUCCUCUUAAAAAAAAGCCCCUCUCACACAGUGAUUAAGACAGAGGAGAUCAUAGAAACCGGUAAAUAAUGAGUCCACUUUAAUGCAUCACAUAUAGUGCAGCUGUCUCCUGUGUAUGAAACUGCUCUUGUGUGCAAAGAGGCUGACAAGUGUGCGCUUCUGCUGUGGAGACUUAAAAGUUACAGAACGAUGAUAAUUAUUCAGUGACUUAAGCUUUCAUUCUCCUUCUUCUGAUCCUCUCUCUGCUCGUCUGUAAUGACGGGCAGCGAGAUGCUAUAGGCAGCUCCCAUGAGAUGGCUCCUAAUCAAACAAAAGGUAUUUUUUUGUCUUUUAAAGAUUUGCUGCAGCCACUGGCUUUCGCAUCUGUGCCGUCCCUCAUUUCUGUAGAAUGGACUCUGGAGUAUUUUCUGUGUUUAGUGCUUAUUAUUUACCCUUUAGCUACAAAACCUCGGGUAUAAUUAACACUAAAAGUAGAUGUUGCAGGUUUAACAGAGAGGCAUCAUUGAGGAAACUUGUCUAAGUAGCAGGUUUGUGGCAGCGUAAUAGCCAGGUGUCCUGAAGCAGCCGGAGCCGAUGAAACUCCUCCAUAUUCAUAAUUCACAGGCCUUUAUGUCUCACCGCAGAAGAAAGAGUGAUUAGCAUACAUAUCAAGUCACAUCCACCUGUCAGCUUGUUUCAAGUUUUGUACUGGGCUGGUAACUUUAACAGUUCUUUCAAAAAAAGUGAAAUUUAAUGAUUCCAGAUGUUACGCACUAAUAUAUUCAGUAAUCGUUUCUGCUGUGUGGAUUUCAAAGCAUCUUGAUGAUUUUGUUGAAAUGUUUUAGAGAAAGCAGCCCUGCAAAAGCAAAAUAUACACACCGGGAAGGAUGUUUCCUGGUCCCUGAUUCAGAACAGCUUUCAAGCAGUUAGGGUCAUUGCUAUUCAAAACCGCAAGGCCUCUUCUAACUGGAACCACAUGUAGACCUUGGGGUAGAGUCUGGUCACCAAAAUCAGCAGUGUUAACAACCCACAGCAUUAGCCUCAACACCUUUUCCAUCAUUUUGUUUGUCUGCCUUCAGAAGAGAGGUCACAGAUAAUUUUUCACAGAGGAGACGGUGCACCCUCCACCCAAACCUCACCCCCCCCGUCCUCUAGCUCAUUCCUGUGGCUCACACCACCUGACCACAUCCGUACAGGCCCAUCUGCAAGAACUCUGUUUGCAAUUGUACGCCACGGAGCGAUUUCAGUGAUGAAUAAAAUAGAGAUAGAACUCCUGUUUGCAGCAAAUAAGACCACAAAUGAAUAAUCAAAGAGAAGUGUUAGAUACAGGAAGCAUUGGUUACGAGAUGACAGCAAGGCAAUAAUCAGCCACAGCAGCAGCAGUGAGGUUAGUAUUAAAGUUGUCUCAUUGUAAAAUAGUAGAAAACAUUCCUCAAACCCACAAUUGAGGUUAAUAAUGAAAUAAAAGAACUUUAAGAACAAUCCAUGUUUUAAAAUAAAAUAUUAGUUUAGGAUCCAUUUUGAAUUGUGCAGCCACAUAAUGCAAAUUUCUAUAGAUUGCUGUUGGAUUAAAAACAGAAAAGUUAUGCAAAUGAAAGUCAACUAAACAUCAAUAUUUAAGAGGGAACAAAAAUUAGUAAUAAAACAAAUUGUGAUUCACUUUGUGCCUCUGAGAGGUAGCUAUUCACAAUAAUAAUAAUAAUGAUAAUAAUGUGACAUUAGCAUAAAAACAAACUGGAAUGAUUAGAUUUAAUCAAAUGUUUAUAAUAUAUUUUUACUUUAUACUUGUUACUUUUGAUAUGUGUAUGAUAAACUCCAUGUUCAUCUUGUGAUCGUGGGUGUGUUUAUUAGUAUCUUUUAAAAUGUGUCUUGCGUCGCCUUGUAUUACCUGAAGCUCCUUGUUGUUCCCCUCUCUCUAUGAGAGUUUUUUUUUUUAUCUCACCCAUUUGUUUUUAUUUAGAAAAAAACAACACGGCCUGCUUUUAUCAUAGUGCAUAGCUGAACUCCCACCUCUAUUUUUCUUCUGUUGUGAAUUUCUGUUUAUUCUUUUAUCUGCUAAGGAGCCUUGCAUAGAAUAGACAAAACGCAGUGCCUUUAAGAGUUUCCUGUGCUUUAGUUUGUCUCAGCGAUUUAGAAUGAACACAUUUUAAUUAUUAAUAUAUAUUUUUAUAUAUAUAUUGUAAAGUCAUUUGAGGCUCAAAUCUGUGUGCACAAUAAAAACAACAACCAGCAGAAUCUACCCAGGAAAAUUUACCCAAGUUUGACCCUAUAAUUUAAGUGUAAUAUACCAAGAGGCAUUGGAUAGAGCCCACUUUAUAUUUUUUGAGCAGAUAGCACAACAAAUUACCCUUUGAAAUGAGUGAUUAUUACUUAUAAUUAUAGCUUACUGCUAGUAGGAGACUAUUUUAUUGACUUAAUCAUUUUUAUUGCACUGAUUAACUUUUACUCUUUCAGGAGAAGUAAGGUUUACCCAAACAGAGUGCUGCUAGACCUUGAAGACAAAAUUGGUUGUUUCAAUGACUUUGAUUUCCCAAAUGUUCAAUGAGUAAAAGAAUACAAACGCAAUCAGCAAUCUGGAUAAACAACCCAGGAAUGAAAAGGUGGACUCUAUUGACGGCCAAAUCAAAAAUGCUAUCCAAUGUACAAGCCAAGGUUGUUCAAGACUUUGAAAUUAAAUAAUAAAAGCCUCUAAUAACUCAGUAGUUUUCAUUGAAAUCAGGCAAGAAAAGUGAAAAAAAGACAGUAAAUUUUAAAAAGUUCAGGUUUCAAUUUUAAGAUAAAUGUGAUCAUUUCAUUUAAAUGUACUUUACUGUAAGUUAGUAUGGUACACACUGAUAGUUUUGUUUUGUACAGAAUUAUUGAAUUAUGUAGACUCUGCCAUAUGAGACAAAGAAAAAGGGAAGAAAAAAGUCUCAAGCAUAGAGCAAGUAUUUAUGCUGCAUUCCAGUUACCUCGGAAGUCAGAUGUCAGAGCUGGGAACAACAUAACACCUGAGUUGAUGGUGUUCCACUUCACAAGUUGGAAAACCAAGAUGAACGCCUAUAGUUACCUGUUGUUAGCUGUUGUUUACAAUUGUCAGUUGUUGUUAGCGGUUGUCAGCUGUUGUUAGCUGUUGUUAGCUGUUGUUAGCUGUUGUUAGUGGUUGUCAGCUGUUGUUAGUUGUUGUUAGUGAUACCAGUUGUAAACCACGCACAACACAGUAUUUUACUCUUACAAACACCAUAGCACCGUGUUCACAGUUAGACGUUGGGCAGUACAACAUACCAUGUAUUUAAUUUCACAAAAAAAAAAAACAGAAGAGCUAAUAAAUAAUACAUAAUGAGAGAUUUUACUGUUACUCUGUACUGUUGAUGCUCUGCACUACCAUCUAGGAAUAUGACGUUGUCAUCAAAUAGGGGUUAGUGAGGAUUGUCUGACUUUCUGAGUUGGAAAUCCAACUUCAGGGGGGAGUUCACGGAUGAAUUUCUGACUCGAAGCUCAGAAAACUUGACUUCCAAGUACAACUGGAACGCAGAAUUAGAAACUAAGUAUAGAAAAAGAAAUUUAAAAAUGGAGAUUAUAAUUAGUCUUAAAACUUCACAAAGGUCUCAGUAUUGCAUGUGUAAGUUUGCUUACUCUUAGAGGUUAGCUAGUUUAACAGCAAAGGCAGGGCUACAGUUUUGACAGAGUCACUGACCAUUCUUGUGCUACACCGAACAAAACCAUAAACAUAUUUAUUUAUAAAGUAAUAGACAACAAUGUGUAAAAACCAAAGGAGAAUGAACCUAGUCUGAAACCAGAGAAAACGUCGACCCAUGUUGCAUAUUACACCCAGUAUCUUGAGUUAGAUUUAACUGAGUUCGUUUGCUAAUGUAUGUUAAAUGUACUGAUUAUAAUAUACUUAAUUUACUGACUUAGAUAUUUGAUGUAUAAAAUUUGCAUGGAUUUUACCUAUAGCCCACAUAACCUAUCUUACGGUGCACUAGUUAAAAUCAUAGAGUUGUCAUCUGAGAAGCGUUCAUUUACUUGAUGGAAGUGUUUGAAAUCAUGACUCUCUCUUGAAUACACUUGUGAUUAAAGAUAGGAUCAUUGAACUCAAAUAACUGUGGAAGCCAAUUGGUAACAGAUUCCAAAAAAGUCCAGUGUCCCAAGAGUGUUGAUUCAUCUCCAAAGAUUUAACACUCUUCUUUCCCCUCUUGCCUAACGGGGCUUGGGCUGCUUUUAUUUUUUCAUUUAAUGUUAUAUUGAUUUAUUUAUUUUAGACGACACUCUGACAGAAAUUAUCUGAUAUGAUCAAAAAAGCAUUGGGAAGCCUCAGCUCCUGCAGAAUUAAUCACAGCGGUGGAAGAGUUUUUCUUUUCUCUCUUUAUUUUUUUUUUGAUUGCCUUUGUCCUCGUCUCCGGUGUAAUCAAAGGGUCAGGCCUCGCUGUUCACAGCCUGAAACACAGCAUUAAAUGAGGAUGUUGUGCCCUGGCUCUACCAGUCACAAUAACACUCUUUCAAUGUCAGCCCCUGGACAUAUAAUUGUGAUGAUUACAGCCUUUUAUUUUGUAGUUUUCCCAGACCUCUGAUACUAAGACUUUUCUCAUCAUUAGAUGGCUGGAUAAGUCCAAACACUGCGGACAUAAAUGACAUGAAGGAGAGCACUGCUGCAGAGAGCUGGCUUUUCCAAAUAGUGGUUUGUAAGUUCCUGUUUAAUAGGCUAACAAUAAAAUUUAACAACCUAUGGAUAAGCAAUAAAUCUAUUCAAUUUGUUUUAGCUGGAUCACAGUUCCCUGGUAACAGUAUGCAUCUGUAAGUGAGUAGAGCUAGCUGAAAGAUUGCAAGACAUGGUUGUGUCUCAUGAGAAUUAAACAGGCCUAUAGCCACAGAAAAUUGGUCUUUUUUCAAAUUAGGAUAGUUCCUCCUCUGUAUUUGUACUUCAGCUGAGAGGCCUCCAAGACAGUUUAGGCAGACAACUCAAACUGCAAAGCCACACUCCCUCACGAUCUCUGCUGCUGGCUGAAAUAUACAUCCAAAGCCUCCUUUGAUACUGCCUGGUCUGUGCAAGCUUUUAAGGACUGCCCUGCUCAUUAGCUGAUGUAACACUACACUAUCUCCACUGUUCGUGUUGCUCUUUUACAAGAAUGUUCAGCCGCAGAGUCCAAUCCUGUCACCACAGGGUGGCUUUGUAGAAGAAACAGUUGCACCUUGUGGAGGAAUGAUUGUCUUUUUUUUUUUUUAUGUUGCUUGCCUUCGUCGCUCCACCUCUUCAGCUCUUUGCAUCAAAGACUGAAGCCGGUUUGAGGAAAACUUUGAAUGUCAAAAUCGCAACCUGAUUGUUCUCUGCAGCAGACAAUCUCCUUCCAGCAUGUGUUAUUGUUAUUGUCACAACAUAAGUGUGCUUAUCUACACCGCUGAGUGGCUAUCGCAGCUCUUCUACUGGAUGAUGUGUUCAUAUGCUAGGGCUGGGCGAUUAAUCGAAUUUUAAUUUUGAAUCCUGAUUAUGGCUCCUCGGGAUCAUGAAAAUAUGAUAAUCAAGACUGAGUAAUUACUAUGCUGCCUGCUGUGUCGUUCUGCAUGUUUCUCUCAUUUUGUCCCGGAAGAUGAAUGAAGCACACCCUCCCUCUCUUCCUUCAGCAGCGCAUGUACUCUGCCCCUCCCUUCAAACAGAUUUUGAGCCGGCUUCCGACUGGAUGCUUGACAGCUGUGGCUCGUGAUGGCCCCAGCUUGUUCUGUUGCAGCGUUCACACAUGCUGCGUGUUGGCUACGUAACAGCUGUGGGAGGUGCUGUUGUCAGCCUUUUAUCUUCAAUAAGUUUAACCCAAAAUCAGACUGCAAACCUAUUAUUAAAAUAUAUAGUCGGCUGUAUAGGAGUCAUCAAGAUUGUUUUUCAUACGAGAGAGAGUGAAGAGAUAAGUUUACUAUCAAUCAUUUUUCACUCAACUGGUCAUUUGACAGAGGCUACCUGUAGAUAAGCUUUUUUUUUAUAGUAAAGCUUUAGAAAACAAUCAAAUUUACAUUAAACAAAGUUUUUUUUUUUUAAUCUAAAUUUUUAAUAUGACUUAACAUUAAGGUUACCUGCAGUCAACAUGAUUUAUGCCAUCAUGGUCCAGUCACUUCUUUUACCAGAUGACAAAGUACCUUCAUUGUAUAACUUUCAUGCAUAUGACAUAGAUAUAGGUGACAGAGAAAAUACAGCUCUCAAAUUAUUAUUUUUAUGUUUAUGUUUACCAAGACCUGCUUCAUUGUGUGAAGGGUCUUAUCUUGUACCGUGCAUGCAUCAUGUAAGUUUGGAAGUGCAAGGAUGCAGCAGAUAUUAAUCUUGGUGCAGUGUAACGUCAUUGUGUUGUACUACAGUAGUAUAGAUGAUCAUGCAGCCACAGGGGGAGAGAGAGGAGAGCAGGGAGAGGAACAGGAGAUGCCAAGAGGUGUGCCCUUUCAGACCCACACAGUGUUUCCCCUAGAAUUAUGUAGUGAAUAAGGGUGGGAAUCAAUCGUGGGGUCCCACGAUACAAUAUUAUCACAAUUCUUGGGUCACAAUUCAAUAAUCCUGUGAUGUUAAACAUAUUGCAAUACAGUGGCUUUUGUGAUACGACAUACGAUACAAUUUUUUUCAGCUGCUUAGCUGAUUCAGCAUUUGUCUUUCCUUUAAGUUUGUCUUAUUGACGCAAUAUUUUGUUUUCAUGUACUUCUUGGAAACCUCAUGUGUCAUGUCCAUCUCAUCUGUACCCUGCUUGCACUCCUAAUGUCCUCCAGAUGCUGCCAUGUUUGUUGUACUCCCUUUCUCUCGGUCUAUGAUGUCACCUCAGCCGACCUCACUGGACAGACAAUUGAAUUUAUUUUUCCAUUAUCUUAGACUUUGAGUCAUAUUAGCAAUUAGAUUGAAAAAUCAAUACUUGGUGGAUGAGACGAUACGAUAUAUCACCAGACAAAAUACCGUAAUACUAUGAUGUAUCGAUUUUUUCUCCCACUGCUAGGGGUGAAUAAUUGUAAUCUCAAUAUCAAUAAAACAAUCUUUUUUUUUUCUUUUUUUUUAAUAACAUUGCAGCCCUACCUAGUUGUAAUGGUGCACAAUAAUGUAACAAACAUAUACUUCCAAUGUUUUCAAUGAUAGUAGUCCAACAAAUCAGUAAUGGCAGACAGCCUGACAACAACAUUGACAAUUACUAUGACACAUUUUCUCUCCGGGGAGACUCUACAACAUCUAGUCAUCUUUUCAGAGUCUACACCAGCUUAUCUGUGCUGGUCCUGCACUUGUCAUAGAUUGCACUGGCCAAAAAGAAAACAUGAAAUAUGCUCUGUGCUCAUCACAAGUCGAUUACAAGAGUUUGAAAGUACGCUGUUAAAAACAUGAACCAAUUAUAACAGAGCAAAUUUCACCUCAAACAGCCAUGGGCAUAUAAACAGAGAAAUGAAUGUGAAAAACUCUGUAAAUAUAUCAAUUUUAAGCCAUCUCAUUUCAUUUCCCAGGUCACAGAGAGCUAGAUUUUCAGCUUUUGACACCCUUUAUUUAAUACUAUGAUGUCUUUCCAAUGUUUUUGUUUUGUUUUGCCUCUUGGCACUGGCAAAUAUUUCUGCAGAUGCACUCAGUGAUAGUAGCUGCUCUCCAUUGUGUGCUGACCUUGCCAUGUUAGAUUAAAAUCGAAGACCUGUUAAAUUCACACAAGCUGUCGUUUGGAUUGAGAACAGGAUCGAGGAGAUGGUUUGAUAGGUAACCUUGCACUGCGGAGAUUUUGGCAAGUUCUCCUUCAAGGCUUUAAGGAAAGAAAGAAUCCUUUUAACAGAUGUCUGUAUAUAAAUAUUUCCAGCGGCCGUAAUAUUCAAGAAAUGUUGAGGUUUAACUUGUGAAUCUACAGAUUGAUGAAUAAAAUCAAGACGUGGAAAAGAGCUAAAUGGGCUUGCUGGCCUUUGCGGGAAUGCUAGCAAUUAAAAACAAAUCCUGUAUACCUGUCUUUUUUUAUUUUUAAAAUAGCCGUGCCCGAUAAAAGGCAUGGUCAGAUGAGCACUUUCAUCAGAUUCAUGAAGUACAUUUUAUUUUAAGUUUUUAUUGCACAUCAUUUAAUUCACCAUAUUGUGGGUGCAGUCUGGAUAGGUCUGAAACUGAUGGGUCUCAACAGAGCUGCAGAUCAGCCUGGACAGAAUGGAGGAGGAAUAUUAAGGUAAUGAGUGUAAUUAUCAUUGUAACGACCCACUGUUGCACACUGUUAGCAAAGGUUCAAUGCUCUUUUACUUCCUAUCUCUAUCUAUUUCUUGCUUCCCAAUAUUUUGCUUGGACGCACGUUUGAGUAGUGACCUUGUGCACAUGUAUGCGUCAGUAGAUGGAGGGUCAAUACAUAAUCAUUCCCAAGUCGCACUCCAGGUGACUGGUCUUUUUAAUCUUGCCAUUAAGGAGAGUUAUGGUGACCGCAGGGCAGCAAAAUGGUCCUUGUUGGAUGCAAGUGCAGGAAAAAAAAAGAAAAAGGAAAAGAACAGCAUCUCAAGCUUAUUUUUGAAAGGAUUGAAAGCAAGUGUUCCUCACUAAAGCAAAAGCACCUUGAUUGAAAAGUGGCUGAAAGUAAGCCAUUAAUGGGCGAGCAGCAUGUGCUGAUCGCUCGACUGGUGCGCCGAUCCCUUCUUAGUGGUUCAGUCAUGUUGAUGGCUUGAUAGUGAGUCCCUGAAACCUACAGGUAGUGAUUUUAGAGGGGUCCCUGGGGAAACAAAGUGGGCUCCUGUUGAAAUUUGUUAGUGUUAUUUGCAAUAUUUCUUAUCUUGUAUGUGCAGAGGUCAUCUAUGCAGGUGUAUGUGCUAUUUCAAAACUCAUUUAUAGAUAGAUAGAUAGAUAGAUAGAUAGAUAGAUAAAACAAAAAUAAAGAUUAGCUCUGUAUUUAGUAGUUGUGAGUAGCUGUGAAGUUUGAAGUCCAACAGUCAGUGGUCAAGUUCAAAUUGCUUUUAUGUGUAGAGAGGAUUCACAGGAACCAUCACAGUAUGUCAUUUGACCUCAGUGAAACCAGCCUCAGGGUUCACUGUCCCUCUCUGCACAUGAGAAACCAUACUAAGAGUCUGUUAAUGCAAAUGCUACAUUUCCUACUGCCGUUGCUUCACAUGAAACAAACCCAACGGCAGCGGCCUGAACUUUGUGUGAAGCAGCCCCAGGAAAUGUACUGCAUUUGUCACAGCAGUAAGGACUAACCACAACUGUUCAUUGAAACAUAAUCGUCAAAACUAGACAAUGAUUUCUUUUUUUUUUUUUUUGCCUUUUGUGCCAAAAAUAUUGAUGAAAGUAGUGAGAGGAAAAAAGAGCAGCCACUCUGAGCUGUAAGAUAAAGAGGCUUCUCAGUAAGGUUACUAACUCUGCUGCUUAUUGGAAAACAAUUACUCAAUGUGAAAAAAGUCACAUCAUGUCUAAAACUACGAUUUACUUUGUUAUGAUCUUUUAGCCCCUUUUGGGCUGUAUGGUGAACCGAUUAGGGAAGUUCCAGAGCAGCACGUUUCCUCUCUGUAUGGAUCGAAAUUAAAAUCCGACUAACCAUCAGUGAGAACGGCAGGGUAUCAAUCAAUCAAUCAUUAACACAACCACUCUCAUCAUUUCAGGCUAUCACCACUGAUAGUCUGAAAUGAUUCACAAUGCCCCUAUUUGAUUCGAUUUGAUAAUGAUUCAGUUAGGGAUAUCUAAGCAGAAAUGUAAUGGCAGCUUGUUAAAAUCUGGUGGUUCUUUGAUUGGUCUGCUGUGGGACACCUUUUCUUUGUAGUGUGACAAAACAUCACACUAGAGGACAAUUUCUUAGUGAAAAGCAUUUAAGAAACUGAAGAUUUAUUCACCUGCUUUUCUGUUCUCUUUUCAUCAGAUUUAAUUGAUCGUUACAAGUGUUUUGCAGUUUUUUAAAUCUGUGUGAAUUUGGACACAAAAUCAACUCAAAAUUUUAGAGGGGAAGUAAUAAGCAUAGUAACGAUGCACUCUAUACCCCCUGAUUUUUAAUCGGUCUCAAACUGUUCAUCAGAUUGUGUUAAAUUGAAUUAUCAAUAACUAGUUUUUAACACUAAAGAUUCACCAAAUUUAAAAAAAAACAAAAAAAAAACAACAACAGUGUGGUUUCUUAGUUCACCUAUCACUCAUGAAAUAACAAACUUUAAAGUUAUGAUAAAGUAAUAAAGUAAUAGCUUUUAAUUGUCUUUCCGUACGACAUGCAGGGUCUAAAAUAAGAGUUGAUUUGAUCUCCUAGAGCAAAGGCUGGUUUUGCAAGUUAAGGGGCUACCCGCAGGAAAUUUUUUUUAUUUUAUUUUAUUUUUUUAUCUUGGUAUCUCAUCAAUCAAUAUCUUGUCAUUAAAUUGAAAAAAUAAUCUGAAGUGGAAUUUUUUUUUUCUUUUUUUUUUUUUAACCAAACAAGGUGCUCACAGAGUCUGCAGGUUUUAAGGGCUUGGCUGAAUGGAGCUAUCAUUAGCAGAGCUAGCACCACCAGCCUUCAGACCCCCUUGCAGAUUAAUAUCCACAUACCCAUGUUGGUGAAACAUUGAUUAAGUCAGAGAGUUUCAUGCCAGUUCACCCUGACACAGCCUAUGUAAAACUUCAGUUUUCUCCAUCAAAAUACUGCCAGACUGUGACAAGACGCCACCUGUCGUCUGUGCUUGUUUACAUUUAGGUUGUAGAGCAAUGUAGCAUAAUAGUAUUUUGGAAUCAACUGUAGCUACAGCUCUGUCACACAUGAUCAAAUUUCAGGCCUAGAGCAAUAAAACUAUCAAUAACUUGUUGAACGGAUUAUUAAUUCUGGUCCACAACCACAUCUUAAAACACCUUUGCUGUCUUCUUCAUGAUGUUACCAAGGUUACCAAGUGAAUGAGUAUUAAGCCUACUUUUGACAGGUAGAGACGAAAGAACUACACUUUUGGGAUGCUGUGUGUGUGCUGGAUGUGUAAGCAGCCAAUUUCAUAGCAAUGCUUUAGCCCCAAGCACGUGAUAAGCUGAUGGUAUAUCAGGGCUCUGUUGCUGUAAAUUUGUUUUGGAGUCUUUCUUUUCUCAUGUGGUGAACACUUAAUGCAGGUUUAAGAGACAUUCAUUAGAGCAUGACAGCACAUGACAGACUUUCCUGAGGGACAUCUUAUUUGUACUCUUAAAUUUCAUGUUUAAUUCAUCAUCAGGCUGGAGGCAUUUUGCAGCAGCAGUACUGUCAACGGAGUACAGCGACUAUAAACAGGCAAAAUGGGAUGCAAAAUGGAUUCUGUUAUGUUCCUGAGAGUGAUGCAGAGAUAAAAAAGAAAACGUAACUAAAUGUCUUUUUUUUUUUUUUUUAAGUGCACAGAAACUUCAUGUGUCAGAAGACUUAUGAUUUAUGAAGCCUUCACCCUGUUGGUCCAGUAUAGUUCAUGACAGCUGGCAAAGCCAUUAAUCAUGUGAUGUGUAUCUUGCACUUCCCAUGGGGCUGAUCUACUGUCAUUGAUCAUUUUCAUGUCAACAGCUUCGGACACGAAACACAGCUCAGGGAUAUUAAACUUUAUAUAAAGAUGUUUGGGACGUUUCCUAACAUGGCUUAGUCGGGGCUGUCUUCUGUGGCUAUUGGCCGAGCCGUGGUGUACUGUAACUUCACAGGCUGUCUAAGGCUGAGUCACCUUACCAGUGGGUUUAUUACAUGAGUGGUCAUUCUCAGCCAGCAGAAGUAAUCCCUUCUUGGAUUAACCUGGAUGUUCACUGAUGUAGUAAAUAUAAAAAGGCAUCAGUUUGUGCUUUCAGCUUAAUUAAAGAUGUGGGCUCUGAUUUCAGGCAGAUUAGAUGGAGGUGACUCUUUGGAACACACCACAAUUGUAAUAACCUUAUCCUCAGGUGACUUGGAUUAGCAUUCAGAAAAAUAUAUCAGAUAAAAUCGCAUUGAAAUUCUAAUGAUAUCUACUGGUGCUCUCCUGUUCUCAAUCUCAACUAAUGGACAUUUUUUAACCGAUCAUGGAUGGGCAAUUUGAGGUGAUCAUCUAGCCCUGCUUAUUACCAUAAGCCAGUGCAUUACAUUAUGUCAUGUACGCCACCACUUCUAUGUUCUGUCCGCCGUACUUACUUCCUCGACUCCUUGGUUUUUGUUCACGCUGACUGCCUCUCGCGCUGCAUCCCUUCAUUGUUUUGCAAGGCAUGCAGAACUGAGUGGAAGGCUAAUGAAUCAAUGCAUCAAACUAGUCCUCAUCUGGAACCAGUUCUUGAUUCCCAUCCUUACUGUCUCCACACACCAAGCACAAGUAAAAUCAUUCGCGCGAAUGAAUUACAUGUUAAGUCAAUGUAAAGACAUGAUUGGACGCUCCUACUACUCUGGUGGCGCGAAUGAUGCGAAUUGGGCGGUAGCUGAAUAUAUCUAACCUUGAGCAGAUAUUCACGUCACAAUAACUAAUCAGCAAAAAGGUUGCCGGGUGACGUAUAAAUACUGGUAUCUAAAAUGGAGGACAAUCUGAUCGUGUCGGUGUGUAGGUGCUCCGAAUUAUAUGAUACCUUUCUUUCUACUACCGAAACCAGAAUAAAAAGGAACUCGCCUGGUGGCAAGUGAGUGAGGGGGUCGGAUUACCUGGUGAACUGUAAAAAAAACAACUUUGUCUAUCACUUGAUCCCACCUGUGGAAUUGGCAGGGAUUUCCAUUGAAAUUACCGUUGACACGCGAAUGAAGUGAUUAAAUACAAUUCAUUCAUGCAUCUAGAUUCACGCAAAUUAAGCGAGUAGAUGAUUUUCCUUGUGCUUUGUUUGAGCGCCCCAUUAGUCUGAAAAAAGUGUUAAUAAGUAAAAAUUUAUUGUUCUCUACUUUAACCCGUUGCCAGUUUUUUCCCUAUAUAAGGUCUGAGGAAAAUAAAUGUGAAUGCCACCUGUGGAAGUCUACUGUGGAAACCAUUUAGUAGAGACACUCUGCUACUGCCAACCACUCCUAUCAUUUAUUACAGAAACAAAUACAGUCAGCAUGAUUUAUGGUUAUAUAUUCCCAUUUCAAAUUAGGAAUAAUUAAUCAGUGUGCCUCAUCAAUGUUGUUGCUAGCAGCCACCUUUGUAACGGAAACAUGUCAAAGCACAACACCCAUCAAUAUGUCCUAUGCUAAAGAAACAGCCUUUGUUUGUUUCUGUUUCAAACAUUCAAAGUGAAUUAUAAAUGUCACUGUAGAGAGAUAACAGGAGGAACAUUGUUGUUUCUCAGCAUCACUUUCAGAAGGAUGAGAUGAAAUCAACAAUAAAAGGGUAACUGCUUUGUCCACAGGGGGUGCCAAAAUGAUCAAGAACAGAAAGUUCCUCCAGGCCAUGUUUGUUUUUGUUAUUUGUUCGGCCAGCUGAAGGAUAGACCCGUUGCAUCCUUCAGCCUCAGACAAAUGUUUGAAAAGUAUUUUUUGGCCUGAAUUUGAAGGAGAAAUCAAAAUGGCACAGCCUUCGAUGCGACGCAGUCGAUCUUGAAAUGAGUGCUAUAAAGGAUGCAGUCCCUGAGCUGAGACACAGCUAAUCCUUGUGUUUAUCAGGCUGACUGGUCUGAAAUAUGACAAUCUUUGUGCCUUGAGCUCCUGAAAGCUCAAAGUUCCUUCUGACUUUUUUUGGGGGGAGAGUCAAAUCCUUCCCUGGGUUUUUUUUUUUCCUCCCAGAAAAUCUCAUUUUUCUAAAUGAUACUUUGAAUUUCCCUAUCAUUGUUUUUUUUUAAAAUUUCCAUCUAUAUAUUUGUUGAUUUAUCGGUUAAAUUCCAGCCCCACUUGGUGUGAUUAAUCCCACAAGCGUAUUAAAGCCAGUAUAUCUGAAAAGCCACUCAUACUUCUUAUUUUGAGCAUUAGCGAUAAUGAAGUCAUCUUUAAAGUCACUCUUUUAUAUUCAGUUUUGCACUGUUCACAAACUGCUAAAGGGUGUCCUCCCCCUCAGAAAGCAGGUAAUUGUAGAGCCUGACAGUGAUUGAGCGGAACAUUUCGAGCGCUCAAAGUGUCGUCGCAGACUGCUGCAGAACGCCUCGCCACCCUGGUAAAGUUCAAAGAAUAUCAAUAACUCCAAGAAACAUGGUAAUCAAGUUUCACACUGUACACAGGCUGCGGCCAAUUUUUCUGAGGAGAUUGUGAGUAAAGCCUGUAGCGCUUGGUGGCAAUACAGUUUUAAUCACUGUGUCACAGACUAGAGGCCAGCUUUAAGAGCACAGCCAGACAUGAUGAAUGAUGGCCGAGGCUCUGCACAACUGUUGGAGUCUGCAAGAUUGCUAUGAUGCUGCGAUAGAAAAGGCUGAUUAGUGGCAUGUGGGGGAUGAUUAAUUGAUGCAAACACAUUUCAAUUUAACGGCUCUUUGAUCAAUUAUUAAUGAACAGAUUCCCCCUCCCUUUUCCGAGCUCCUUCUUUUAUUAUGUACAACUUCAAUUAACAGGCUCUCUGCUUUGACCUAUUGCUGCCCUCUCCUGCGAUGUAGAAGCACUGGAACUCUGCAAGCAAAGAUGUCUCGAUGAGCAAAAACUUCAUGCAUCAUGAUAUGGGUGAGAGUAAUUCACCCUAACACAUAUGAACAUAUCUUUAAGGGGAACUAAAGAAUUAAUUAGAGUGACUGUAAAUUAAGUCAUCAGGACAUAAACAUUGUUAGAGAGAGGAAGAGCAGCUGAGUGCGGUUCAGCUUCUUUCAAUGAAGCCGCGAUUUUCUCCUGAAAUAACAAAGAGCUUGAUUCCUCAUUCCAGGACAGUUAUUUCUCACAUUCUUGCUGAAGCUGUGAAUUGGAGCACAGAUUUCUCGGAGGACCUUUGGGUGAGAGAGUGCUCAUGAAUGUGCUGCUGGUAUGUUGGAAAUUGUUCCCCCUCAAGGCAUCACUGCUUUCAUUCUUGUAAUCUUGCUUGUCUUGCAGGCUGGUGAGAAAAAAAGAAGAAAAAAAAAGCAAAUUAAACAAAAAGAAUCUUUGUAGGAUUGUCUAGGGGCCUUACUGUAAAAAAAUGCUUCCAGUACAGUAAGGUUUGCAUGUGCAAGGCAAGGUAGUCUUCGCAUUAAAACGGUGAGAAAUGGGUUGCUGCGUUCAGAUUUCCUCCACCAUGGGGGUCAAAUGGUGUUAGGAAAUGUCAUUUUAAGAGGGUUUAAUCGAUGCAUUUAUGCAGCAGCGAGGAUUGUUAAUGCGAGGAUCAAUUGUUUGUGCAUCCCAGAUUAAUCACGAUGGCAUUUGUAGAAGGAGCCUCACUCCUGUGAUUUCACACGCACCUGUUUCCCGGGAAUCCUAUUGCGAAAGACUAUAGUUGUUUCUGCAGAUCAAGAGGGGUGGCUCGUAAAACUUUGAAACCCAUUUUGGUGAAAAGGCAAAUGGGUCCUGUCAUAUCAUUUUAUUACUGUCAUCUUUGCUUUUACUGGUAUGUUUACGCUGAGAGAAAUGCUCUCCGCCCCUUUCACCCUACCAGCUAUAAAUAAUUCAUUAAGGAGCCAUUGCUAACAAGGGUAUAAAGAAAAAUAUAUGUAUUGCUAGUGAUCUGGGAGGGAAGCCAAAGGAUGUGUCAGACACAAUUAUUGGGAAAAGGGAGAAUAAUUCCUCCCAUGUACUUCAUUGGCCCCCACUUGUCCCUUUGGCUCUUUUCUCGGUUCAUCUGGCCGCCGUGGAUGGGUGCAUUAAGACACACACAGGUGGACUGAUAGGGGUUGAAAGUGACCCUCUGCUCUCAACACUGGCACAGAGCUGCAGAGCAUCAGGCUAAGCCACUUUGACUCUCCCGGCUCUCUUAAUUGCUCAGUGAACCUGGCUGCUGCAUUGAGUGGCCUGACUUACUGGUCCCCAGAGAGUGUAUUACGAGUGCUCUGUCCAACUAAUCGCCUCCUUUGUCCCCAUCAUCCUCACACAGUUUGUCCACACGAAUACUGACAGGCUGGUCAUGAUGAUACUCCCAACACCACCCUGUUCAGCUGCUCCCAAAGUCCCAAAUUACUAUCUUAUUCCCUCCAUAGAUCAUCACACGCAGACAUCGCAGAAUGCAACUGAUAACAAAAAUUGUAUUUUCUCUUUUCAGAAGCAUAAGAAAAUUCAGAAUAGAAUUUUCUUUCAAACACUCAUGGGAGCUUCACUCCAGCAGGCAACUUUUACAUUUAUUUUCUUCUUUUCCCUCUCUUUGAAAUAAGCUACUGUCAACACUCAAGGACACUAGAAAAUUAGAUUUAUUAAGAUGGCUGUUGGUCAGAGUGCUCCAGCAAAAUAUGAAAAGAUUCCCCUCUAAAAGGUGCACUACAAAUUAAUUUAGGUUCUGCAAAUGUACCUGUGGUUAAGAGAUACACAGCUCUGCAUGCUCUGGGGCAUCCUCAUGAAAGCAGAGAAUUCGAUAAAUCAAAGAAAAUGCUAAGAAAUGUAUUUGGUGAGGGUUCGAAUGUCUCUUCGGUUUCAUACAUAUUUCAAUGUCAACAUUUGAUCCAGAUCAAAAAAUACCAGGUUUGAAGAGCAUGUUCCCUUUUAGAUGAAAUAUCAGACCAGGGGCGUCAUGAUAAAAGGAUAUUCUCCUGCAUGUUUGGCUGAUUUUGUUGGGCUGACCGCUGCCUUGGCUUUAACAUCCAGAAGGAUGUCUUCAAAUGUAAUGUCACUGAAAAGCUUAAGCAUUAGGUCUCUUUUUAUUUCAUUGUGGUUGCUUGUGGUUUUAUAAAAGGCAUUACAGCUUAAUAUCCUUGGGUUCAUGUUUUUUCAAAGACUUUUUCAAACUUUGCAAAAGAAUUGAUGCAUACCAAAAGGGAUUUUUACCCAUGGGGUUGCUAAUUGUUGAAGAUAUAUUUCCAAAAGCAAAAAAGCUACUACCUGCUGUAGCCUGAGGCCGAACAGCAUGCUCAUAACAAAUAACAUUAAUAUCUAAGUUCAGAGGUGUAAGACAGAAAGUCCACAGACUUCUCUACUCAUUAAACCUUGACUGGGAGGCUAUAAUCUUAGCAAAGCAAGCCCGUUGAUGGUAAUUCCAGUGUUACACAUUUAUCAUCCUCGUGUUUUGGCAUCUGUGACUUUAAAAGGAAAGUUUGUUGGAAAUCAAAAAAUGUACAGAAGACAACAGUCUGUCAGCUGUCGGAGCUGGCAAUGACGCUACACCGGAGUUGACAGCGUUCCAGUAAACAAGUCGGAAAAACCAAGAUGGAGGCCUACUGUUAGCCGUUGUUAGCUGUUAUUUACAAUUGUCAGCUGUCAUUGGCAGUUGUCAGCUGUUGUUAGUUGUUGUUGACUAUACCAGUGGUAAACAACGCAUAAAACAGUAUUUUACUCUUACAAACACUAUAGCACCGUGUUCACAGUUAGACAUUGGGCAGCACAAAUACGACUUAUUUAAUUUCACAAAAACAAAAGAGAAGUGCCAAUAAAUAACACAUUACGAGAGCUUCCACUGUUACUCUUUAUUGUUGAUGCACUGCGCUGCCAUCUUGGAUUAUGACGUUGUCGUCAAGCCGGGGUUGGUGAGCACUGUCCAACUUUCUCCGCCUUCAGGGUGGCGUUCCAGAUGAAUUUCCGACUUGAAGCUUGGAAAUUCCAACUUCCAAGUUCUGGAACUGGACCGCAGCAUUAGCAUGAUAUUUGAGUCACAAUGUAAUAUUGAUAUGAGUUAAAACAUUUUGCUGUACUCAAGUACUUAAAUAUCACAUCAUAUAUUGCAAUAUAAAACCAUUUGUGACCUUUUUUCAACUGCACAUUUUGCCCGUAGGAAAAUUCAGUUUCUUCAUCUCAUUUCAGUCAUUUUGGUUUCUACACGCGGGGAGUCUAACUCCUGAGCUAAGCAGCACUGUGAUAAAACUCCAGGCUCCAAACUCCUGACAAACUGAACUGUUCGUGUCAAAGUCUAGUUCAACUUAGCUGAAUUCAUACAUUUCUAAAUCACUGUAAUACAAGAGAAAAAGUCUGCCCUGACCAAGUGGCAACCUCCAGUCUUGGGAAAUAAAUCCAACACAAAAGUGCCAAAAAGUUCAGCUCCCUAAGGGCCUACUUGAGGCAGGCUGCAGAGAGCCUGGAAAUCCUUUCAGACUAAUUCAAAAGAGCACAUUUAUUUAGGCUGAAACUUAUAACUGUGUUCUGGACAUGCGUCAAAAACCCAUGUGUUCCUCAAUGUACAUGACCGUAAGUCUUCACUCAUGAAGCAGGUGUUGGAUUGUGGUUUUAUUCUCCAUUUUUUAUAGCUCAUUUGAAUAUUUAAGGCAGCUUUGACCAACUGAUUGUGUCCACUGUGUGGUUUUUCAGUAAAGGUGGUAUAGCAUUGCCUUCUAAUGCUAUGUCUGAAUGGUGGCGAGUGAGGUGAGCCCUUAUGAAUGUUGCAUUCCCUGAGUAUUUCAAUUUCAUGCUGCACUGCUUGUCAGAAAUUCAAAACAAGUCCACACAUUUUAUUUAAACCCUGACAGUGCUUUCCUUGUCUCUUUCCUUGGUGUCUCCAUGUUUGAUUUAUCGUCAACUUCUUCGUGACUGUCAUCUAUGCUGACAGAAGCAAAAAAAACCCAACUCAACAACACCUCUGAGCUGCUUAUUAAUGACGGAUUUUUAGGGCCACAUUAAGAAAAAAAAAUUUUAGAUUUUGUAAUUACUUCCAAGAAUGAAGUCAUGAUAAAGUAAUUACUUCUGAGAAUAAAGUCGUGGGAAAAUCAUUACUUAUGAGAAUAAAGUAGUAAAAAAACCAUUCCUUACAAGAAUAAAGUAAUAAAAUCCUUAUUUAUGAGAAUAAAGUCAUAAUAAAAUCAUUACGAGAAUAAAGUCAUAAAGUUAACAAAGUCUUAAAGCUGCUUGUGGGAGAAGGAAAUGGCUGGAACUGGUCAACUGCAGUUGUCAGCUGCUGCAUCAGUGGGCCAUUCAGAGGGCUUUUGUGUUUUCUCGAGAAACAAUCCGACUGAUGAUCAACAUUCGCGAUUCAGAGAGAGUCGAGCUCCGAUGAGCACCGCAUCUGUCUCUAAUGAUGGCACUACACCGGCAGCAACCUACACCUGCAGAGGCACCAACACCUUAUGGUAUAUAGAAUCAUAUAAUAAACUAAAGCCAUAUGCUAUUGCUAUAAACAUCUGCAUUGAGGGAUUUAACCUCUGCACAGCCAUUUUCAGCCAUUUCCUCCUCCUCAAAAACAAUAAUUCCCUACAAGUCCGCCUGGUUCUUUCUGCAGAAAAGAUGCAUUUCUUGCAUAUGGCCUUAUACUUAGGACAAUGAGAUGCUGAAACGUCAAAGUAUUUAUCUCCUUGUUUGUGAAACCAAGCUACUGAGGGUCAAUUCAUCUAAAUGCUCCACAGCGCUCACAACUAACAACAGGUUAGAAUAGCUAUAAGCUAUGACUUUAUUCUCAUAAGUAGUGAUUUUAUUACGACUUUGUUCUCGUAAGUAAUUAUUUUUUUAUGAGUUUAUUCUCGUAAGUAAUGAUUUUAUUACGACUUUAUUCUUGUCUGUAAUGAUUUUACCACAACUUUAUUCUUGUAAGUACUGAUCUUAUUAUGACUUUAUUCUCGUAAGUAAUUUACAAAUUUUUUUUUCUUCUUAAUUUGGCCCUAUAACUCCGUCGUAGCUUAUUAGAUAUGUUCAACUAAGUGAAAAUCACAAAUUGAAAAUAGAAAAAAAUGAAAAUUUGUAUGUUUAUUAGUACUAUGAAAUCUUGCAUUUAUGUGGUGUGGCAUGAAGUCAAUGACUGACCGGUGGAGGAGCUUGACAUUAGGAUGUGUAAGUUCGUUAGACAGCUAAGUUCUGUUUGUAGUAUUGAAACUCCAAAUGAACUGAGGUAGAGUGAAGCAGAAUUCCACUUAUUAAUACAAUUUUAAGUAGCAUGAGUAAAGUCUCUUUGGUUAUCAAGGGGUUUAAGGGAUCCUUCUGCAUACCUCGGACAGUCAGAUAAGGAAAAGGCUGACUUUACUGGACAGAUUUAACCCUUAAUGAGAGUCCUGCAUUCAAGAGAUAACACAAUCAGCCACAACAAGGUGAGCUCAGAACAGCUCUCUUCUACCAAAGUAAACGCUGUCUAAUAGUACGAAGGCAGCUUCUGGCUUUUGCAGUUGACUUUAAGAGAAAAAAACCUUUUUAAAUUAACAUGAAAUUUAGAUGUUAAAUUCCUCUAAUGUAGUCCUUGAAAAUAAAAAAUAAUAGUGCAGCAAGGAUCUAUGGUCUAAGUGUUUAUGAUAUGAAUCUCUAUUAGUGCGUUUACCUUUUUUUUGCACAGCACUUAACAGGUUACAAACCCCCCUUUUUUGUUGAAACAGUCAACUAAUUGGCUUCUUGUACAGGCUAAAUACUUCAAUGUUUCAAUUGGCACUGGAAACCACAAACAGCACUUAAUGAAUUAAUGACCACAUUCAUAGGGAGCUUGAAGUAUGAAAGUUUGAGUGCUUCCAGCCCUGUCUCUCACUCUGUCUUCUGCUCUAUUUCAGUUAGAGGUGUACAUGAGUUUGGCUUUAUCUGCUCAUCUGGUUUUUUUGUGUCAGCAUAUUUUCUAACAGGCUCUUAAGUUUUAUCUGCAAACAAAGAAAAACACAUUUCACACAAUUUACUGAUGAGCCAUGCUUUGUAUAGAUAAAAGAAAUCAUCAGAUAAAUUGCAGUGAUAUGGAUUGAUACCAGAGGAGAUAAAUCAGGCUUUUUCCUGGCCCAAACUGAGGCUGAAGUGGUUCCCUCCUUACCAUGUGCACACACCAGAAUACUUGUUUGAGGACAAUCUGUUAUAGAAGCCUGUUCUGUUUAUCAAAAUAAGUUGUUCCAAUUAAAUUUAGAAGCUAAGUUGGAGAUCAUAAGUGGUCUGAUGAUGCUUGUUUAAAAUAUAUCAUAACACCCUAACAUACUGCAACCAAGAUGUAAGAGCUCUCAGUUUUUAUGGACCAUAUUCCCAAAGUGGCAAUCAUCUUGUGAUGUUACACUCAAGGUGGGAAACUAAAAUACUACUCCAGGUUUUAAGAGUAAAACCUACUUUAGAAGUGCUAGUAUUCAUGUGGGCAACUAUUUUCACAUCAUGUUAGCUAGCAAACAAUACCAUGCUGUGAAAAAUAACUUUUUACUUUUGCACUUUUGAGGCAUUUUGGCAGCGAUUUCACUAAUGCACUGCACUGGAUAACGCCGCCUCUACAUCAGCGUGCAGCCAUGAUUACAGUUAUAAAUGACAAAUCCACCAAAUGCUCCCUUUGAAAACAGUGUCCCUCCUGAAAACACCCAUCAGCGCUGACAAGAGCUGAAGACGGUAAGAAAAUUAGGGCUGAGCCUGCUGCUCCUCACUUUUACAUGCAGGAGAAAUCUCCAUGUUUGGCUGGCUGGAAGAUUACACACAUAAACUGCUACAGUGAGGGAUAUGACCUGGAUGGAUAUUACUCUGUGUAAAUGACCUCAGCUGUGGUUUCAUUCAAAAACAGCUGCCCUUUAACACGGGCCAUGAAUCAGUAUUUGGAACAUGACCUUUAAAAACAAUGAGAUAUUUACCCAAAGGAAGGUGUUGGCAUAUUAUCAGCGGUGAAACGAUGGAAAUAUCACCGUACAGUAUGAGACUUGCUGGAAGCGCUACGAGUUAAAUCCUUUAAUUACAAUGCAAAGCCACCAUCAAAUUCCUCAUCUGCCUGUCCUUUAUCCUCGCUCUUUACAAUCAAGACAUUUCUACCUCUCGAAUUCGGGUGAAUGUAUGCUGUAAUGUAUUCAGCCAUAUUUAUUUAGAGAUAAAGAGGACCCCUUCCCCCGCUCAAACACUACAAAUCCCUCAUUUGCUGCGCGCGUAAAUGUGUGGAAAUUUUGCUUUUAAUUGCAUUGAGGUCAAUGAAGGACAAUGUUGUCGGAGAGGAAAUUGGAACGUGAUUACCAGCAGCUCUUAUUGUGCAAUACACAGUCGCCUCUUUUCAUUCCAGCCUUUGUCCAGCUAAGAGCGCUGUUGAUAAUGUUGGCCAUUGCGAAGUGCUCUUUUAAAGUGUCUUUGAAUCAGGCUGAACUUAGUCUGAUCAGUGUUAAUGAAGACUCUUUUCUGUACAUCGCCACACAUCAGUUAUACUCCCUCAUGAGGGAUUCGCCUCUCACAUCUGUGUUGCUUUCUGUCUCUUUGUAUUUCUCUCUUGUUUCCCCCUCCCUCCUCCAUCUUUUUCUCCUCCUCUUCUGGUCUUUCUCUCUCUCUCCCUCUGCCAGCAUCAAAGUAGUGCAUAACCUGAAAUGAAUGCAUGUGUUAAUCACCAUCUCCUAAGAAUUAAAUGAUCUCAAACCACUCUGACAAUUCAUGAGCAAAAGAGAGCUCUCAGUAUUCAUAAGCACCGUGCUAAGCAUUUACAUGGAUAACAGUGUCAAAACAUUAAGUAGGAGGUUCAGAGAAAAUGGCUCUUGCAAGAGAUCAAAACCUCUUGGUGUCGUGUGUGAAUUGGCUUUCCCCAUUUGUCUCUGCUGCGGUCUAGAAAUGCAUAUUGUAACCUAGAUAUGCUCAUAAAAAUACACUGUUUCUGUCAGAUUCUUAGAAAUUUUCCUGACUCUUUGUUUCACAUCUUAUAAGUUCGUGGGAGUCACCGUGUAACAAACACAGACUUAAUGAAAUUGAGAUGAUAUGCAGUACUUUCAGGGUUGAAAAUGACAUAAAGUUUAGUGUUUCGGCAUUAUGAAUAAGCCCCCUCAGUUACAAAACUAUGUGGGAGCCUCUGGCAACGCAAAGGAAAAUGUAAACCUUAAUAAGGAACAAGUUUGAACUCGUAUUUGAAAUAGGAAUCAUAUUUUAUUCUCUGAGGCAUUUAAUCUGAUACUAAAGCCCAGUUGACAAACAUUUUCCUUUAUGAAUGGUUCACUUGGUCUGCUUUAUUUUGUUCUCAGAUGAUAAUGGCAGAAUAAUCCGGUUCCCCAGUUAGUACUUGUUUUGUGCGACUGUUCUCUGUGGGCUGAUUCAUGCUUAGCAGACAGUUUUGGGAGCCUUUCUGUGAAAACAGAUGCCUGCAAGAGUUGAAAACUGCACUACAAGAGCGACAGAAUGAAAGUUUUGGGCUCAAAGACCAAAAUAAUUAGCGGAAAAAAAAAUCGAUUCAGCUUUUGCAGAAUAGAGGAUUUAGGUGAGAUUUUACUGUGGGUUCCUAACUAGUACACAAUCCUCAUACCUGGUGUUGGCUGCCGUCAGCAUCUUCAUGGACCUGAUUUGGGUACCGACGUAGAGACAAAGCCAUUGGUGAAUUAAACAGACCACAUCAGUGAAAAGAGACAAUUCUAAUCCCCAAAAAACAGCUUCAGACAGAAUCCCCCCCACCCAACAAUCCAUGGGAAAAACACAGAGGUAGCUUUCAGCCUAGAUAUAGUUGAUAGAGACACUGGUGUUGACAUACAAAUUAAAUGGCCCUAAAUUAGAAAACAACCUACAGAAACUUACCUUCACCAAGAUGUAAACAGCAAUAGAUGUGCUUUUAAGUAGAAGAUUUUAAUAUACGGCUCUAAGGAAGGAGGGCUAACCUUUGGAACCAGCCUCAAGUGGCCACCAGAGGAAUUGCAGCUUUCGCACUUAAAUGUCGGCUUGUUUGAGUCCAGGAAAUUGCUGUUUGCAGAGUAAACAGCAAGAGGGUCGUCAGAACUAUUUGUUAUAUUUUCAUGCUUGUAGCUGCUUAAUCAGUCAAUCAGAAUUCAUAUUAAAAAAAAGGUUGUGCUUCUUUUUCAAUCAAUAGAAAACUAACUUUAAUUUGGCUGCAAGUUCAUCAUCCACAUGUUGAUUUAUUUGAUCUUCUGUAAAAGAUGUGUAACAGCAUAACUGUAAAAGGCAGUAAAAAUACUCUUAAAUUGAAGAAGUCUAAAUGAAUGUCUUAUACUGAUAGGACUUCUUGAUAAACUGGCACAUUAUGUGAACUCAUGGUUAAAAAAAAAAAAAAAGAAAUGCACAUCCUCAAGUGGCUUCAAUAAUUGAGGCUUGUAUUUUGUUGUCGGUAAUUUUGUUUUUGAAAGGAACAUCAAGUGAACUCAAUCAAGUGCUUCUGAAGUAAUCAACAGACUCUUCAGAAAUGAGAGCAUCUCUGAAGUUGUGUUGGAAAGUUAAAAAAAAAGUGUUAAAAAGGCUCUGUAAACAUGCUGGCAGAUGCUGAGUUAAAACUUGAGAAGUUUUCAGGCACACAGAUGCCUCAGAGGGUAAGCAACCGCACAUAAAAAAAAGCUUUAGCCAGUGUCAUAUAUUUCAGUAUUGACUCGGUCGAGUCCACGUAGCAUUAGCGGCAGAGAUCUUUACCUUUAAAUGAUGGUAUUGGCUCCAAUACAGCUUUCAGCAGAAUAAAAGGGCAGUAAGAGUCAUUGAGUCAAGCACAGAGUCAUUGGGGAAGUCAAUGAAAGCAAAUGUAAAAAAUGUGAGGCCUCUUAAGAAUAAUCUGUCUGGACUUUAUCGCUCCAGAGCACAGUAUAGACGGUUUUUUCAUUAUUCAACAUGGCAGAUUACUCAAAUAGAGGGUUCAAACAGAGCAAGAACAAGAGGUAGCAGUCUUAAUCAAUUUGGUAUGUAACUGUGGCACCACUAAUCAAUGGGACCAACCUGUCAUUCAACUGCAGUUCAGUUAUAAAUCCACAGUAUACAAGAUCAAGAAACUUUCAUUAAAUAGAAGCGUCUAAAGUUUAUUUCUAAGUUUAAUAAAGUCUGACAGCUGCCGAGUAGCCCGGUAAAGAAGUCUUAAAACUUAAUCACCACAUUUAUCACGGCCCAUGUUGUUAGAGACCAUAAAGGCCAUUUUUUAUUAAAUCAAGCUUAUUUAUGUAUAAAUGAAAGAACAAUGCCUAACCCAACUUAAGCUCCUAAAUAAUUAUAUUGUGAAGCCCAUUUUGGACAUUUACCAUUUACUUUUUUAACUAAAAGAUUCCUGGCUUAAAUACUAAACUCAAAGCUCUACCUCCUUGACAUUCAGCCGGGGAUUCCACUAGAUUCAGAACGCCUCUGCCAUCAGAGGAGAAGCGCUUGCAAGAUUACCGAUAUUUCUUGCCAGACUGGAUGAGAUCUCGCGUGUUUCUCCAUGAGACAUUGAAUGAGACCCGCCAAUCGGUGUAUAUAAACAGCAGUGUAGAUAAACACCCACAACCCACUUAUCAAGUGAAGAGCAGUUCAAUAUAUUGACUUUGUUUUAUUUUGAAAAUUAACCAGAUAUUUUACUUUGUAGCCGCAUACAACUUCUGCUGCUGCUCGUGCUGCGAUGCACUGAAUUGAUGCGCCGUGCUGCAGGGUCCUGCAACAAUAGAAGCCUUGCGUUUCUGAUCCGGCCGCUGGAGCCGAUCCGCGGUGGAGCUGGUCGGCGGACGGAUUGUGUGGAAUGACACACAUUGAUUAUAAUGCUUGUGUAUUUGAUGCGCCUGCCGUGCCGGAGCGAAGCGAAGCCGUUCCGAAUCCUGUGGGUUUUAGUCGUAACAGAAUGUUAAAAAAAUAAAGAUAAAAAAUAGUUUCAAAAUAAAAAAUGUUUUGUUUAAAUGAUGAAAAACUCUUUGAUGGUGCAUUCAGGGCUCUUUAAUAUCACAGAAAAGGUUGUUAAUGGUAGGUCUAUAGGAGGAAAUAGGAAUUAACACAGAUCAGUGAGUUCCUGUAAAGAAAUGUAUUUUAGAAAAUUUGCUUUAGAGUUGCAAAGAAAACACACCUAACAGUUCACGUGUCGUGUGAAAACAGCUUCUGCCUUGUUAGUAAUCUGCAGAAGGUAAUUUCUAAGAAUAGUUAAAUGUAGUCAAGUAUUUCUUCUUGAUUUUGACUUAACUUUCAAACUAUUUACUUUUGCCAGACUUACUUUUAACCUAAUUUCUGAAGUUUGGUGUUUCUGCCAGAGUUCCACUACAUUAAAAUGAAUAAUCGGCUGUUGAAACUCGUACUGUGUCAGGCUCCUGAGGCACUGUGUCUGUUUAUUUCCCAGGGUGCAGUUUGUAAAGGAAAUUGGUUUAUACUUAUGAGCCAUUGAUCCACAGAGAACAGUACAGUUUGUCAUUCAGUUGGUCCCUCGGACAGGGGAUGGAGCGAUAGGGGAUAGUCCGGGGAGAGAUACAGCCAGAUAAGUUACGUCUGGCAGCGGUAUCAGAGGAGACUAGGAAGACAUACUGAUAGCGAGGAUAUGAAUGACUCACAGCUAAAAAGAUUUGCCUGCAGUCCUAAAUACGUUUGUUAGAGUCUGAAGCACUCAGUAGAUGCAGUCAAAACAUUGUGACACAGCUUUGCAAGGAUUUUGGCCACUUUUCGUAGUGCAGGUUUCAGAACUGGCUUGUGUAUUUCCCAAAUGCAUAGAGUAGACUUCGGUCCAGAGCAGACAUUAUAAAGCUCAUUUGCAUUCAGAAAAUGUCUCUAAUUUAAGUUUUAUGAGAGGUGUUUGAGGCCAAGAAGCUACGUAGGUGAAACUAUUUAAAGUCCUCUCUGCACAGUACCUGAACUAACCUUCUUUUUAAAAUAUUAAGGGAUAUGUUAUAGAACAACUUGAUUCAAUCACAUUUCACACUCUUGAGGUGAGACUUGUUUGACUGUAUAUCAGCCAAUAAAGGACAAAUUUUGAUGAAAUCUUGAUCGUUUGGAACAUUCCGAGUUUAGAGACGGACAGCGGGGGGUGUAAAAUGCUGCAGGGGGUGUUGGAGAUGUUUUUGUGACCUUUUGAUACUUUCUUCCACUGUGGGAAAAAAAAAAGAAAAGAAAACAAGUGUAAUAUAACAGCAACGAAACUGAACCCACCAAAGCUGCUAUACUCUGUCUAAAGGCCAAAACAACUUACAGUUUUUCAGUCGUCUUUAAGCUUGUGUUUCCGAUUAAACAGGAUUAUGACAGUUUUAAUAGAGUGAAAGUGUAUAUUGACACUUUAAAUGUCAAUCCCUUGUAGUUUAAAACAAAAAAGGAUCAAUUUGUUGAAAAGAGAUUCAGCUCCAUUGACAUUCAGAUGCUCCACAAAACUUGAAUGCUCAUAACAAAUUUGGCGCAAAAAUAAAAUACUCGUGAGGAUCUCCUUCAUCCACUUCAGCCUACUUUCUGCCCAAAAGGAUUAAGUGACAUAUGGAGAGUUAUUUGAUUUUCUGCAACGAUACUAGUGAAUUAACGAAAGAAAUAUCUGUAGAGAAGCAGUGCAGCUUUUUUAAAAGAGUAGAUUGCACAACUGUCGAUGCCCAGGCUCCACUAUCUGCAUUCACAAUGUGUCAUUACAUACUCGAGCUUCAGAAGAGCAAUUAAUGCUAAUGGAAGUAAUUACACAGAAAUUAUAACCUGCCUGAGUGAAAGACUACAAAUUAGCAGACAUGUGAGAGGAGUAGGUGCUUCUCAUACAAUCAACACAUCUAUCUGUGUACAGGCUCUUAACCACGAUGCUCCGUGUGUCCAUGUUUUUAACUACAGAGCUGAGGGAAAGGGGAAAAGACUGACGUUUCCAUAAUCUUACAUGAACGCUGAGUUUGACCUUGUGUUACUUAAUACCCAGCACAGCUCAACACUUGAAAGCACUCUUAUCUCCAUUUUGAUGAAGUUCAGAGGGGGGGAAGUGGAUUCAUCCUUUUUCCCUGUGGAAAUCCCCAAACAUUAAAAUCUACUCACUUGAUAUUUAAUGUAUGAUAGUGAAUUUGAUGCCAGUGAUGAUAAAGCUAUCGUUUUUGAAGAAUCAUCCGGUCCGUGUUUAUGGUUCCAGAUAUUUCUCAGUUUUUACUUCGCCGGUACUUUAUUUUAGGGCUUAAACGAUUACUUUAAAGAUUUACAUUUAAAGCCUCCCAUUUAAAUCACUGCUUUAAGCCUCAAUUUUACAUUAUUUGGUUCUGCAGCUCUAGUGCUGGUGCUAUACAAACUUAAUAAAGAGAUGAAAUGAAGAGCUUUGAAAUGGAGAGGGGUGAAAGGUGUUUUAUGCAAGACACAAAAACUUCCUAAAUUUCAUGACUUUAAGUUAGUUGAACAAUCUGAAAUGAACACUAGACACUUCUUCCAGAGUGAAAAAGUAUCAGAACAGGGUGAGGACUGUUUUAGAUUUGAGAUGCGGUCACUGGGAAGGUGAGUUGUUAUUUAAAAAAGAUCUUCGUGACAUCAGCUGUGUGAGGGCUGAUGGCAACAUGAUUAAAAAAAUGUCACAAAUCAGCCUGAUUGAUUGAUUGACCAAUAAAAUAAUAAGUCAACCUCACCCCAAUGCUUUUGCUUUACAACAGCACUUAGGGGUGACUUCAACCCAAACAGCACCGCCACCUUCAAAAACCAUAUAGUUAAUGUGAGCACCAGGCCUUGACAACGCUACCAUACCACUUUGACCCAGCAGACUCACACCCUGGAUAUGGAACUAGAUGGGCAAUGGGAGCCAACAUACCAAUGGAGUUAUCAACUGUUUUUUUUCAAAAUUUCAUCGUCAGGUUCAUAGACAUGAUAUACGUAGAUGCCUCAUAGACAGAGGUUGCCAAUUGGAACUGACGUAUCAGUGCGGCCACCAUCUUGGAUGGGUCCUCAGUGCAUUUAUUUCUAUUGAGGAAGGUAGGAAUGCUUAUUUAUCAGAACUCCCUGAAUUUUUACCAGAUUUUCACAUCAUUUGGUUUGUUACAAACGACAGAGAUGUAGCUAUGAUGAAGGAAGCUGUCACACAAUACAAAUGACCCAAAUAGUUUUUUUAAUCUUACUCUUGAAAUGUAAUCCUACGUGAUCUGUUUUUUUGCAACCAUAGGAUUCAUAAAAUACAGGCAUAGUUGUUCAUUCUUUUUUGACUCUGGUGGGCUCUAGUGCGAACCUAGAAGAAGGAGACCCAUCCAAUAUGGCAGCGAUGCUGGAUUAUGCUCCAGCAUGUAAUGAGGCAUCUACGCACAUUAUGUCUAUGGUUAGGUCCAUGUUCUUGGGUUGUCUUCACACCUAGCUUUAGUGAACUACACUCAAACACCCCCUGUCCUUGCUAUCUCUCCACUAUGGCGGACACAGAUGAUUUGCAGUCCAUGCGACUAAUAACAGCCAACUAACAUUAUCUGUGAUUGGUCAAAUAUGCACAGAUAACUAUCCAAGGCUAAAAAACAUUUGACUCCUUCUCUCAAUGUCCAUGAUACUCGCAUUCAGAGAGAGAAAAAGUAUAGAACAACAGAGGAAAGCCGGGUGUUUAGAGGAAGACAGGAAGGCAAAGCCAGGGCAAGCAGCCUGUUGAGUUAGGCGAUGUGCUCUACCUUGGCCCUCUGCCCUGUAUUCUUGUAAGAAGACAGAGAGGGAGCAAAAACAGAGUAAUCUUUACUCUCUGUGAGAAAGUGAGAAGCCUGUUAAGGCAAAAGAUCACCCAUACCAGGUUAGGUUGUAUGCGUGAACUCCCCCUACUUCCUUAUUUUCAUGACUGUGUCUGUAGAGAAGAGUUAUCCAGAGAGUUUUUCACAAGGAAAAUAACAAAUGAGGUGAUUUUUCUUGCCUCAAAAACAGCCCAGAAUAAUGUCUUAUAAUCGGUUGCACUUUUCCUCCCUUAUGGUUUUGUUGCCCUAGCUCACAGGACAUCAGUGUCUGCCAACAUGCAUGAGCAAAAUGUUCAAUUUUCUAUUUUCCCAUAUGGCUCAGCCUUGAUUUGAGUCAGCCUUGUCACAGACUAGUUAAUGUCAAAAUGACUGUCAUCAUGAUACAAAGAAAAUAUAGAUAACUUUUUACACAGCAGGACUUAGUCAGAGUACUUUAAAAAGAUGUUCUACCUCACAUUUAAAACCUGAAAACAGCUUUCAAUAAGUCCUAGCCUGGUUGCCUUUUAGGGUAAACUCUAGAUCACCAUGACCCAGAUGACUGAAAACCUUCACUGGCUUACCUGACAUCUCUGCAGGAACACUACACCAUGGCAGCAGACACCUAAACUGAGGUGGGGAGUAUGUGUCUGUCACAAAGGAUUUGAGAAGGAUUUAAAACCGUCUCUAGGAGCCACAUGGGACCAGAGAGAGAAAGUUCUAGCUGAGCCAAAUGAUCUGAAUCACUAAGUAGAGCCUGAAUUCCCAUCACCAGGAGUAUUUACUCUGAGGUUGCUUACCUGAGAUUACCAGAUUACUCAAAUAAUAAACAAAUAAUAGUAAGAAAAUCUUUUUAAAAUGUGCUUUUAGAAGAGAGAUUGUCCCAGUUUCUCAGGAAUUAACUCCUUUUAGUCCUUUGGAUAUUUGAUAGAUUACUGUUUCACGUCAUGAGUGAUAUUUGGUAUUUGUUGGUAUUUAUAAAGAGCAGAAAAGCCAUGUGGGAUUUACUCAUGCAUAGAGCUCAUUAUAAAAGAGAAAAACCGUCCAAAUGUGAUGUAUAUAUCAUGACUACUUGGAGCUGAGCAUACCUUCACUGUCAGCGGUUUGAACUGUGACCCUGGCAUUUUCAGAGAGAACAAUCUCUGAACCGAAUCCUGGACCUUUUUGGUAGGGUUAUGCAUCGUUUUAAAGCGCUUCAUAAUGAGUGGUUGGGUUUAAAAGCUGAGGGACCAGGGUACCACUGAACCCCCAACCCUGACUGAUAUAACACAGUUAAAUUAUUCAUUUGAAGUAAUAGCCUUGCUGAUGAAAUAUUCAUCAUUCUGUAAUGAGGAAUGUAUUGAUUUAAAAAGCAGCACUUUGUUGAAAGCCACGGCUUUAGCCAGAGUAAAAAGAGGAUAUAAUGAAAGGUAUUUUGCAGAUCAUCUUUUUGUAUUUUAUCAGCACUGAGCACUUGUACUGAUUACUAAUUAGGUACUUGUGUGGAAACUAUUCGGUGGAAGUCACAGCACCUUCAUACAGUCAAUUGGAGAUCAGCACUUACUGAUAAUGAAAGCAUUAUUACACUUUAUUGCAUCAUUUCAUUGUGAACUUCAUUCUCCUGGAGCACUAAAAUGUGCCGACCACUUAUAACAACAUACAAUGAGUUUGUGUUCAAUUUUACAACUUCUUUUUUUCCAUUUUCAGAAUAAUUCAUUACCUCAGGGAUGUACAAUAUCAUUGGGCUGCAUUUUGGGACAGUGGAAACAAUGAUGAAAAUACCCAGAGCUGUGCAGAUACAGUAUAUUGAUAUUUAGAGAUGUGGAAAUCAUUCUUUUUAACUGAUGCUGAUGAGCAAUAAAAACCUGCUCCUGGAGGCGAAUACUAAUAAGACUACCAAGAUCUCUUUUUAUAUUUUUGUUCAUCAUUUUGUAUCAUGUUAUGAAUCUGUACAGGUAACUUUGAUGGACUUAUUAAUUAAUUUACAUUGGGUUAUGCAUUAAUCUAUACAUCAAAACUGAAUUAAUAUUAAAUACUGUUUCUGAUUUCAGAUGCUGCCAUUUCAGAAAAUCAGGAUAUCCUUUGGGAGAGAUGAUUGUGGCAUCAGCCAUGUGAGUACCAGAGCAGAUAAUUUCACAAUGCAAAAUGAGAGGCUGACUGUUUAUCCCGUCUGUUUCUGCUCAUUGGUAUGUAUUAUAGCACCAUCCUGGCUCCAGAGCAGUUAUUCUAAACUCUUAGUGGUAGAUUAGCAUAAUAUUGGAAGAGAAAAAACAUGCUGCAAUAUUUCUCCUCUCUGUGAGAUACAUUGCAAUAUGAAAAAUACAGCACUGGAUAUACAGAGCGUAUUUCGUGUACUUGAAAAAACUAAAGAUUUAAAUAAUACAAUGAUAGAAUUUAUAAUUCGGAUCUUCAAGUAUUUGUUCUGCUUCAAAAUCAAAUCCCUGUCCUACUUUUACCACAUCUGACGAUGGCCUCGACGCCUGCAUGGAGAAGUGGAGGCAUUAAGAGGGGGGAGAAAAUUUGAACUGACAUACUUAUUUAUACAUCUGAUCAACUAACCUGUCAUGAAUAGUUUUCAUCAGUGUUUAAAAUGAAGUUUUACCUGAGUCAUCAGCUCCAUGAUAGUAGUUUUGACUGAAUGAAAACUCACUGAUUUCUCCUGCAGUGAUUUAGUGAUCUCUAUCAGCAGCACAGCAGCUCUCACUCUCUCUCUCUCUCGUUUUGUAAGAGCAGGGCCGACGCAAGAAACUUAAGAACGAAUAAAGUAAACAUAUUAGUAAUGUAUUCAAAUGAAUGGAUUUAUGACUAAUGUGACAAAGUUAAUGUUGAACGCUGAAAGAAAUUUUAAAAACUGACACAAAGAUGAUAAAAACCCCUUCUCAAAAUCUCUUCCACCACUGAUGGGUCUCCACUGAACUGCUAUUCUAGCAUAUAUUAAGCAGAUGGGAAAUUAAUGUGAUCAGAUACCUUUCAGAGUAUUAUCACCUUACAUUUUCACAGGUUAAAGAGCCACUCAGUGCUCAUUUUCCAUGUUUUAACACUUCUCUUUAAAGGUGCAAUAAGAAUAAUUAGACUGGAUCACCACUUGGCUCCUAACUUCCUGCUAAGAGAUGGUGAGGAUCAGGAUGUCAUAGAGAGUGCAGGUCAGCAGCUUUUCAGUCCAUAUUGAAAAUGUAGGAAAAGAAAAGAAAAAAGAAACAAACAAACAAGAAAGAGAAAAGUUAUUGGAAAAUCCAACUCAAUGCUUUGAUUUUGAGAGGACUCUACCUUCCAGGUGUACCUUGUGCCUUUUAACAGAGGCACAAGGUAACAGAGGAGAGACAGGGUUGAUGAGUCAAUGAAAUGGGGAACUGAACCGAUGAACCUGAAGGUGUCACUCUGGGAUAAAGAUGUCUGCUGGGAAUUGAAGAGGGAACAGAGGGACAAUCACAAAGUGUAACUGAAAUGCUCUUCUUCUUUUAGAUAGCACAACCGGUUACAACAGCACUGCAAGAUUUCUGUCAUUUUUUUUGUUCUUAAGGUACAGUAGAUUUGUUGUGAUAGUAAAACACCAUUUUUCCUUUCAUUUAAAGGUAAUAAACAGCUCUGUGAACAACAUGAAAAGCUCUUCUCCCCUGCUGUGCAGUAUGACUGUCAUAGUGUGCAAGCCCUGUCAAGAAAUUGCUGUUUGUGUGAAACAUGAUACCGGGCAGAUUGUCAGACGCUAUAUGGCAGAGAACAAAUGCCUCAGGAUCAUUUUGUUUACGACAGUGGAAACAUGGAACAGCAGCCUUGUGUGCCAGACUUUGAGGAUGUAAGUAAAGGAUGUAAAGAGGCACCGUUUGUCUUAGGUAAGCACCAGCCUACAUCUUUUUCAUGGCAUAAACUGCUGAUUAAACAUGACACAUUGAGGGGGUUGAACGGGGCCUUUGAGAAUUAUGGUGCAAUCAUAAACAAGUGAGAAAAUAUGUCCCUGCUGGCUAGAAUGAAUUUAAAACAACACAACACUGCUGCUUUUAUUUAAUUAACGGAACAACUUUUAGUGUGCAGAUCUGGGUUCAUUAAUAUUAAUUAUUAUAAAUGUUGAAAUUAAGCACAGACUGAACUUUUUAAGUACACUGCACUUCUAAUCAAACAACUGACACUAGAAUUACAUUAUUGAUAAUGGUGGCAUUCAUUUUAAACUGAGCCUAUAUUUUACAUUGAGAGCAGUGCACUAUCCCACUGAGCAUUUUUUUGGUCUAAAGGAGGUCUAAUAGACGUCUAAAUGUAGCCUAGACAGCUGGUCUAAAAUCAGACUACCACAGGUUUAAAAAUGAUGUUUUAUAGAUGUCUAAAUUUAAACCAAGUUUGGACCAAGUAUAAAUCUGGGUUAUAUCUAUACUACACUGUAUAUUGCUCAACAGCUAUCAUAAUUAUUUUGGUUAAGUACUUGGAGAUCAGUUUUGCAUCUCACAGUUGCUUUUUGAAAUAAAUAGUUAUAAAUAGUUAAAGUGCAACGUCUAAAUUACAUCUAAAAAUAUACAGAAUCUAGACGGUUGAAAUUAGGUUAAAAAUAAAUAGACAUCUCAUAGCGGUUUAUUGCUCAGUGGGAUUCCAUGAUGGCGGAUACGAAUAUGAUUUUUAUUUAACUUUUUUUUUUUUUUUGCACUUUGAAAAUUUGUAGUUUAUGCACACCUGAGGAUAUGAAAAGUUAAGAUUUAAUAAGAAAAUAGGCCUGAAUUAUUCUAUACCCAUCAGUAUCAAUAAACCAAAACCAAUUCUAAUUGAAAUCACUAUUACUUAUACUCAAGAACCAGAGUAGUUCUGACCAGGGGUGCAAAAGUACACGUUUUUACAGGAGCACUUGUAUUUAAUAGGAAAACAUGUAACAAGCUUCUUACAGGUUCAUAGAGAACAAAACAACAACUGGUCUGUUGUUGGAAGCCCUGUGAUAAAGUCUUGAUCCCCUGCAUUCAACUGUGUAUCUUAUGUCCAGUGUAGUAAGACUAAGAUACAAGCUUUUUUAUAUCAAUUUCUGCCAUAUGUGAGUACAUCCACAGGAAUCCACAAGGACAUUUCUCUCCAGCCAAUGGUGCAAAAAUACAGAGAACGUAUUAAAAAUACAAUAGAGAAAAACACAGAAGGAGAGUGUUUCAGAUAGAGGUCUACACAUCUACCCUCGUGCCUACUGUGUCCUUGUUUAUAUACACUCCUAUACACAUGCACACCUAUAUAUAUAGAUGUUUACUUAGCAUACAUAUUUUGACCUAAACUGCAGGUGGUGGUCACAGCUACAGUAUCACAUUGAAGAGCAUGUAAACAGGAAGCAUUAUGGGGAGAGAGAUCAGCUUUCAGCACAUCAGACAUGUUCUGUGUACGUUUGUAUAAACAAGUUUGAUAGUCUGUUUCUGCAGAGUUCUGACAGCAGAGGAGCAGGAGGGAGAAGAGCCACAUAACGAAAUCCCGGUAGAUCAGCUGUUUCUGAAAUACUCAGACCAGCCUGUCUGGCACCAACAACCAUGCCACAUUCAAAGUCACUUAAAUCCCCCUUUUUUUCUCUUUCUGAUGCUUGGUUUGAACUUAAGCAGGUCGUCUUGACCACGUCGACAUGCCUAAAUGCAUCCAGUUUCUACCAUGUGAUUGUACAUUUUACUGUUUGAGUUAACAAGCAAGUGAACGAGUACCUAAAAAAGUAGCUGGUGAGAGUAUAUGAGGAAGCCUACAAGCCUUAAAUAUUGAUCCUGCAUUUUGACAAUGUGUAAAAGUAGUACAUUUCAUCAAUUCUCCUCACUACAUUAAAAAUACACUGACUGAAGACUCAAAAACCAAGAACCAAAUGAAUUCUGAGUCUUCAACUGUCAUUUAUCUUUCAUGCUGAACUGGAGCAUUCCCAUAUGUGCAAUCAUGUCUUUUUCAUUCAGUCUCAACCCAGGCACUAGGCUGUCGAACGAAGCACACUCUAUGUACUGAAGUCCAAAGUCCAUCAGCUCUGAUGAAACUUAGUGAAUGUGUGCAGAGAUUUUGCACACAAGGCAUUUAGGGUAUUGUCUGCAAAUAACUGGAAAUCUUUUGCAAAGACAGUGUUGGAGCUGUGGACCAUCCUUGGUAUUCGAUGGAAGAGAGAGGGUGCUUUCAAUCCAUACAUUUUACCAAUAUAUCUAAAGUUUUGGGUUGCUUCUGCUAAACUUAAAUGUAAUGUUUAUUUUUUUCCUUUUUUUUUAUCAGAUAAAAUUGCAAUCCUUUGAAAGGUAACUACUUUCAAAAUACUCCUCUUAUUGACUCGAUAGACCUUUUUGUUCUGUAUUUUCAUGGUUCAGUUGUGCUUCAGGUUAAAAUACAAGCCAAGAGAUUUAUAUGGUUUUUUAAAUUAUUUAUAGUUCAGGCGUGAUUUCAUCUUCAUUGUUUGUGUGUUUGUUUUGACCUCGACUUCAGCACUUGAGCAUAGACACCCACUUGUACCCCUUCAUCUGUCUGCGCUGAACAUCCUCUUAAUUACAACAGAAUGAUUAGUAUACGCUUGGUAAAUGCUGUCAUGCCUGCUUUAGAAGUUCGAAUAUUAAUAUGUGGCGUGUUAUUCUUUCUACUGCGCCGUUUCUGUUGGAUUUGAAGCUCCUUUUAUGUUGUUGUAGCAUCCAGUGGGAAGGGGUGAAGAAGUCAAUAAAGCAAACUGUGCACAGACAGGAGUGAACACAGCAGACACUUCCACUAUUGCUGCACUUAAAGAGCUCAUCCCACAGUCAGUGUUUGCAAUGAUAACCUGCGGUUCAUGGCUGUAGCCGCAGCAACAGCAACAGGAAAGUUAUAUCUCAGGAGAUGAAAAACAGGAUUCUUUUCUUUCACCCAAACAAUCCCAAAUAAAAGUUUAGGAACUACUGAAUAAGUGUUAUGGUACAAUGGAGUAAAAAAAAAAAAGACUUCAAAAUUAAGGUCGUUAAUUUACGAGAAUAAAGUCAUCACUAAUAAGAAUAAAGUGGUAAUAAAAUCAUUACUUACUUAGAAGAAUAAAGUCAUAAUAAAGUAAUUACUUACGAGAAUAAAGUCGUAAUAAAAUCAUUUUGAUACUUAUGAUAAUGUGGUGCUGAUGUGCCAAAAGAUUAAGUAAGAUUAAGUUUCUCUUUGGUUGAGAAACCUUUAUUGAAGUAUAUUUUCACGAAAUGCUCCAUGGCUCUCAUUUCAACAACUGUCAUCUUAACCAACAGGUUAGAAUGUAAGGACUUUACUCCCCUCAGUAAUUACUUUGCUAUGACUUUAUUCUCGUAAGUAAUAAUAUUACGUCUUUAUUCUCAUAAGCACUAACUUUAUUAUGACUUUGUUCUCGUUAAUAAUGACUUUAGUCUUGUAAGUAAUUACUUUAUUAGGACUUAAUUCUCGUUAGUAAUGGCUUUAUUCUUGUAAGUAAUUACUUUAUUAUGACUUUAUUCUCGUAUUACUUUAAAACGACUUUAUUCUCGUUAGUAAUGACUUUAUUCUUGUAAGAAAUUAUAUUACAACUUUAUUCUUGUAAUUACUUUAUUACGACUUUAUUCUCAUAAUGACUUUAUUACGACUUUAUUCUUGUUAGUGAUGACUUUAUUACGACUUUAUUCUCUCUAGUAAUGACUUUAUUUUUGUAAGUCAAUGACUUUUAUCUCAAAAUCUUAAUUGUUUUUUUCUUAAUGUGGCCCUGUACUCCGUCGUAGUUAUGGCGGAUAGCAUAAACAAAACAAAAAAAGAAAAAUCCAGCAAAAAUGGAAAAAGGCCUUUUCAGGAUCUGAUUAAAAAUUUUUCAGAAAGGUAACCCCCAGGUUUUCCUGUCAGGAACUCAUUCAAAGCAUGUUGCAAAGAUAUAAACACACUUUAACAGUGCAGAAAUACUUUCUGGGGUGCUUCCUGGAGCAUCAACACAGCAAAAAUGCAGAAAAACAGUAUAACAACAGUAUAUUAAGUAAUAUGCAGAGACUGUACUGCUGAGAGUCCCACAAGAGACACUAAGGUGCAAACACAACACUGAGAUGGAGGAGACUCCCUUGAAAGCAGCAGAGGAGUUGUUUUGACUGAAGGCACACCUUUGACAUUAGCAGCUUGUCAGGAACUUUGCUGACGAGCCGUGAUGUGGUUGUGUUGUUGUUUUGUCCUGCACACUUGUUAGCUCUGUGCAGCCUUUGCUGGUGCCGCUUGCAGGUUGUCCGUCUGCUAAUUUGGUUGACAUUUGAGCAAGAAGUCUGAGGGGUGAGUCAGGAAUGGUGAAGGAAGCCAAAGAACAAUCAGUUGAUUGCUUGAGCAAAAUAGAGGAAAGAGGCCGAGUUGAAGGACCGAAUGAUGAAGCGUGCUCCAGUCAGAUUGAUUGAUAUUCAGCUGAGGUGAUGGGCUUUCAGGACAGGAUGGAGAAACAGUAAAACUGAGAAGAAGGAGGAGGGAACAAACCAGCAGAGGCUGCUGUUUAGAGCUUAGGAAGGGAGAGCUGGAUCUGUUUAUGAGAUUUUAAGUUUAGGGUAUGAGUAAAGGUGUUAAUCUUUCCUUCAAGACAAUUAUAAAUAAACCUAACUUUUAACCACACAGCCUUGCUCAGGUGCCUCACUAUUACAGAAAGACGGGAGGCAGAUUAUGAAAAUUUGUUCUAACUAACAAAGAGAUCUUGGCUUGUCUCUCCACCUACACUACCAUCAUGGACUGAACAGAGCCCUGCUAGCACUUCAAAGUAUUUGUUCUGCCAAGUGACAGAAAUUUAAGCAAACAAGAUGAUAAAAGUGGAUAAAAUCAGACUGAAUGACAGAGCUUGUUGUGUAAUGUUAGUCACUAGAGCAUUGCUGUUGUUUAUUUUUACGUCUUUGAACGCCUCUCUUUUAAGUGUUCCUCCCACACAAGCACUGGCCAGAGAGCUCACCUUAACCCUCGCUUUCAGCUUGAACACACAAAAACAGUGAAACUCAUCCAUCUUGUGUAUUUUAUUUUAUUUUUUCAAAGUAAAAUAAAGCCCCCUUUUUUAAAGUUUACUUUUAAUUAUGUUU